rnacentral:lncRNA from 1 species
UCAAAAUCAAUGUUUAGCACCUUAGAAUUCCAUCAAACACAUUCACAAGUGCUUACUUUAUUUAAUUUCAGUUUUUUGUAUAUAUAUAUCAAACAGUAACAAAACGGUAAAUAGUUGAGAAGUUACAGACGAAAGGAGAGAGGUAUGAGACAAUAAGUGUAGAGAUGAAUGGAAAUCCACAAUGUUAGGUGAGAAGAGGCUAUGGAAAGUGUUUGAAGCCUGCAUAGAGGUUGAUUUGUAGUUGAGUUUGGUGGUGUUGGUCCAACACAAAACAUAUCUGCUCAAAGCUACAUCACUCUCGAUGAAACUAAAUUCAAAAUGCAGAACUGCGAAGACUGCACGCAUUCAAAAACAGAGGAAGAGACAAAGCAGCGCUAUAAGCCGUGUUUAAAGACUGCACCUAUUCAGUUAAUGUUGGAAGCAAUGCAGUUUUUGUAACACAUAAUAUGAACAAAGUUGCAGAAAGUGAUGUGAAGGCUACUGACAUUCCUUUCCUAUCCAACCAAUCAAACCACACAUAUUCUUAUACAUCUCAUCUUCACUUUAAUCAUACAUUUCAUAUCUCAAAAUAAGGUAUAAGAGGGAAAGAAGAGGUUCAGUUAAAUUAAAGCGAGGAAGGAAAAGAAAAGAAAAGAAAAAAGCAAGCAGAAAGGACAGAGAGAGUUACCAAAGAAGUAGGAGACAUGGAUGAACCAACCAUCGGACCACUCUCCUUCCUUUCAUGGCGGUCCCCCUUCUCUCUCUCUCUUUUCGAUCCCUAUUUUCAAUUUUCAAAAACCAUUAUGAUUUGAA